UAUUGGGCAAUGGCCGAGAGGCUGACCCAGCCAUGCCGCGUGCAGGAAGAAGGCCUUCUGGGUUGUAAACUGCUUUUAUACGGGAAGAAAACGCCCCUGCGGGGGUAACUGACGGUACCGUGUGAAUAAGCACCGGCUAACUCCGUGCCAGCAGCCGCGGUAAUACGGAGGGUGCAAGCGUUGUCCGGAUUUAUUGGGUUUAAAGGGUGCGUAGGCGGCCCGGCAAGUCAGUGGUGAAAGCCCGCAGCUCAACUGCGGAAUUGCCAUUGAAACUGCCAGGCUUGAAUCUGGCUGAAGUGGGCGGAAUAUAUCAUGUAGCGGUGAAAUGCUUAGAUAUGAUGUAGAACACCGAUUGCGAAGGCAGCUCACUAAGCCAACAUUGACGCUGAGGCACGAAAGCGUGGGGAGCGAACAGG
rnacentral:rRNA from 1 species